rnacentral:rRNA from 1 species
AACGUAGGAGACAAACGUUAUCCGGAGUUACUGGGCGUAAAGGGCGUGUAGGCGGUUUGUUAAGUCUGGCGUGAAAGCUCUCGGCUAAACCGGGAGAGGUCGUUGGAUACUGGCAAACUAGAGGACGGUAGAGGCGUGUGGAAUUCCGGGUGUAGUGGUGAAAUGCGUAGAGAUGCGGAGGAACACCAGUGGCGAAAGCGACUUUCUGGUCCUUAACUGACGCUGAGGCGCGAAAGCAUGGGGAGCGAACGGG